rnacentral:rRNA from 1 species
GCUAGGAUGAACGCUGGCGGCGUGCCUAACACAUUCAAGUCGAACGAAUUGCAGAAAUGCAGUGAGUGGCGGACGGGUGAGUAACGCGUAAGCAAUCUGCCUUUGUGUGUGGAAUAACAACCGGAAACAGUUGCUAAUACCGCAUAACGCACAGAGAUCGCAUGAUUUUUGUGCCAAAGAUUUAUCGCACGAAGAUGAGCUUGCGUCCGAUUAGAUAGUUGGCGGGGUAACGGCCCACCAAGUCGACGAUCGGUAGCCGGACUGAGGGGUUGAACGGCCACAUUGGAACUGAGAUACGGUCCAGACUCCUACGGGAGGCAGCAGUGGGGAAUAUUGGGCAAUGGACGAAAGUCUGACCCAAGCGACGCCGCGUGAGGGAAGAAGGUCUUCGGAUUGUAAACCUUAGUCAACAGGGACGAAGCAAGUGACGGUACCUGUGGAGGAAGCCACGGCUAACUACGUGCCAGCAGCUGC